rnacentral:rRNA from 2 species
ACUUUGCAAUGUGCGAAAGCACGACAAGGUUAAUCCGAGUGUUUCCUGCUAAAGGAAUCUUUUGUCAGUCCUAAAAACACUGAUGAAUAAGGGGUGGGCAAGUUCUGGUGUCAGCCGCCGCGGUAAAGCCAGCACCUCAAGUGGUCAGGAGGAUUAUUGGGCCUAAAGCAUCCGUAGCCGGCUGCAUAAGUCUUCGGUUAAAUUCAUAUGCUCAACAUAUGGGCUGCCGGAGAUACUGUGCAGCUAGGGAGUGGGAGAGGUAGACGGUACUCGGUAGGAAGGGGUAAAUCCUUUGAUCUAUUGAUGACCACCUGUGGCGAAGGCGGUCUACUAGAACACGUCCGACGGUGAGGGAUGAAAGCUGGGGGAGCAAACCGGAUUAGAUACCCCCGUAGU